UUGUGGAGAAGGACGCCGAAGGUGGGGCUGAUGACUGGGGUGAAGUCGUAACAAGGUAGCCGUACCGGAAGGUGCGGCUGGAUCACCUCCUAACAGGGAGACAAUAAAUUGAUUGUGAUGUCUAAGUUAUUUAUUCUUAGGCCGCAAUCCUGUCACCUUAAGGUCGAUCGGUACCUCUGAUUUUUGAAUUAGUUUUACAAUUGAUUCUUUGAUUUCAGUUCCUAAACUUGUCUAGGUCACACCCAACAAAGGUUUCUCCUGGGCCAUUAGCUCAGGUGGUUAGAGCGCACCCCUGAUAAGGGUGAGGUCCCUGGUUCAAGUCCAGGAUGGCCCAUUCGUUGUUGGGGGUAUAGCUCAGUUGGUAGAGCGCCUGCUUUGCAAGCAGGAUGUCAGCGGUUCGAGUCCGCUUACCUCCACUGAAAACUAUCCUGAUAACUAAAUUUCUGGAGAAAAAAAUUGUAGAUGUGACUUAGAAUUGUCUAUUUGAAAAGAACCUAGCUUCUUGUCAUCUUUUUAUAGUUGAUAAAAUGCUGGGCUCGCAUGGAUUAUUUCCAUGAGAAUUCAGUAGAACCUUGAAAACUGCAUAGAUUAGAAAGAAUAAAGCAUCUCAUGGAUGCAUAGUUCUGUUUUUAUAAUUUAGCCUUAAAACUAAAUUAUUGAAUUCUAGAAUUCAUGUUUAAUUCUUGAGUAAUAGCCGAGCACAAUUGAUUUUGUGAUUGUAUUAAAGGUCAAGCUACAA
rnacentral:misc_RNA from 1 species